GGGCGAUCCCCCGUGUAAGAGUGAGGUGGAGGAGGACAUUCCAGUCCAUGUGACCACAGGGCUUGUGGAGGUGGACCCCCAAGAUGGCACCAGUGCGUUUAGCUGUUUCCCGCCACCUGUACCUUCUGAUGCUUCCCGUGGAGAAGAUGACCCGCAGAUCUCCAGAGUGCCCGCCUCGCCAGCAGGAAAUCCCAAUAAGAACUCUGAGGGAACCAUGAAGUUACCACAAGUACAAAAUGUAGCUCUCAUGCCAUACUCUUCAAGAAAAAACCGCAUUGCCGUGCUUGUAUAUCCAGGACUUCUCAUUACAGAUCUAGCAUGUAAACCAAGUAGUCACGGAGAAUCUCCUGAUCAAUCACAGAUUGUUUCCACAAGUCCAGACCUAUCAUCUAAUACCCCAAAUCAUAAAGAACCUUCUCCUAACCAAUCACAAAUUGUUACCACAAGUACACCACAAUCACAUCUUGGAACAUGUAUGAAAACUCAGGCAGAACUG